rnacentral:sRNA from 1 species
GCUGGGCAUGGGGGUGCACGCCUGUAAUUCCAGCAGCUCUGGAGGCUGAGGCAGGAGGAUCUCAAGUUCAAGGCCAGCCUCAGCAACUUGGUGAGCCCUAAGUAACUUAGCAAGACCCUGUCUCUA